GACGAACGCUGGCGGCGCGCUUAACACAUGCAAGUCGAACGGAAAGGCCUGCUUUCCCUUGUGGAUUGCGGGUACUCGAGUGGCGAACGGGUGAGUAACACGUGAGUGAUCUGCCCCCAACUUGGGUAUAAGCCUGGGAAACUGGGUCUAAUUCCCAAUAGGACUGCAGGGUGGUGCCUGUGGUGGAAAACGAUUUUCUAGUGGUUGGGGAUGAGCUCGCGGCCUAUCAGCUUGUUGGUGGGGUAAUGGCCUACCAAGGCGGCGACGGGUAGCCGGCCUGAGAGGGGGGACGGUCACAUUGGGACUGAGAUACGGCCCAGACUCCUACGGGAGGCAGCAGUGGGGAAUAUUGCACAAUGGGCGGAAGCCUGAUGCAGCGACGCCGCGUGGGGGAUGACGGCCUUCGGGUUGUAAACUCCUUUCGACCGCGAGGAAGCCACCUGGUUGGAAGGGUGGUGACGGUAGUGGUAGAAGAAGCACCGGCUAACUACGUG
rnacentral:rRNA from 1 species